rnacentral:rRNA from 1 species
GAUGAACGCUGGCGGCGUGCCUAACACAUGCAAGUCGAACGGAAAGACGAGGAGCUUGUGCGGUUGACGUUUGCGGAGGGCGGGUGAAUCACGCGUGGAUCACGUACUUAUAUGUCGGGGAUAACUACGGAAAACCGGAGAAUAUAGCAGAGGAUAUAUUGCACCGCGGGGGUCAAUGGAGAAAGUCGGCGUUGGGGUCAGGAAUAGAUGGUUUCGCGCCGGAUUGGCGGGUUGGUAAGGUAAAGGCGUACCAAGGCAACGAUGUGUAGCCGACCUGAGAGGGUGAUCGGCCACACUGGAACUGAGACAGGGUCCAGACUCCUACGGGAGGCACCAGGAGGGAUUCUUGAGCAAGGGGCGGAAGCCUGACCAAGCAGCGCCGCGUGAGGGAUGAGGGUCGUCGGGUCGUAAAACUCUGUUAUUGGGUAAGAACAAAUGUGCGAGUAACUCGGAGCGUCUUGACGGUACCUAAGCAAAAAGCCACGGCUAACUUCGUG